rnacentral:misc_RNA from 1 species
CAAGCUCGUGCAUCGAACUGCUGAAUCUCGAUCUCCUCAGCUCAAGGCCACGCUCGCCUCUCUGGCUUCGUGGGCGGAGUCCGGUUCCCUGCGUCGCGAACCCACUGAAGUGGAAGUCGGUUGUGUUGCUGUGCGAUUCUCGCCUCACUCCCGCCAAGGGCGUGUGGYGAGCGUGGAGGCACCUCCUUUGCUCCGGACACGUCGGUCCGACUGUCUCGGCGCAUCGGCAGGGUAGCCCGUGCUUUCCGGGAUGCUGAAAACCUUUCUGUGGCCCGAGGGAUCCGAUCCCUYCGUGUUGCCCGACAUGUCCCUUAUAUUCGAACGACGCGCAGUGCCUGUGUCCCCUCCUCGGCUUGCCGGGGAUGGGAGCCGGUGCUGAGCUCGUGAAGGAAUGC